rnacentral:rRNA from 1 species
AGAGUUUGAUCCUGGCUCAGAUUGAACGCUGGCGGCAUGCCUUACACAUGCAAGUCGAACGGCAGCGCGGGUGCUUGCACCUGGCGGCGAGUGGCGAACGGGUGAGUAAUACAUCGGAACGUGCCCUAGAGUGGGGGAUAACUAGUCGAAAGAUUAGCUAAUACCGCAUACGAUCUACGGAUGAAAGUGGGGGACCGCAAGGCCUCAUGCUCAUGGAGCGGCCGAUGUCUGAUUAGCUAGUUGGUGGGGUAAUGGCCUACCAAGGCGACGAUCAGUAGCUGGUCUGAGAGGACGACCAGCCACACUGGGACUGAGACACGGCCCAGACUCCUACGGGAGGCAGCAGUGGGGAAUUUUGGACAAUGGGGGAAACCCUGAUCCAGCAAUGCCGCGUGUGUGAAGAAGGCCUUCGGGUUGUAAAGCACUUUUGUCAGGAACGAAACGGUGGGGGCUAAUACCCUCUGCUAAUGACGGUACCUGAAGAAUAAGCACCGGCUAACUACGUGCCAGCAGCCGCGGUAAUACGUAGGGUGCAAGCGUUAAUCGGAAUUACUGGGCGUAAAGCGUGCGCAGGCGGUUGUGCAAGACAGAUGUGAAAUCCCCGGGCUUAACCUGGGAAUUGCAUUUGUGACUGCACGGCUAGAGUGUGUCAGAGGGGGGUAGAAUUCCACGUGUAGCAGUGAAAUGCGUAGAUAUGUGGAGGAAUACCGAUGGCGAAGGCAGCCCCCUGGGAUAACACUGACGCUCAUGCACGAAAGCGUGGGGAGCAAACAGGAUUAGAUACCCCGGUAGUCCACGCCCUAAACGAUGUCUACUAGUUGUCGGGUCUUAAUUGACUUGGUAACGCAGCUAACGCGUGAAGUAGACCGCCUGGGGAGUACGGUC